rnacentral:rRNA from 1 species
AACGAACGCUGGCGGCAGGCUUAACACAUGCAAGUCGAACGCGUGUAGCAAUACACGAGUGGCGCACGGGUGAGUAACGCGUGGAUAUCUGCCUUUUGGUUCGGAAUAACUCCGGGAAACUGGAGCUAAUACCGGAUGGUUCCUUCGGGAUAAAGAUUUAUCGCCAAAAGAUGAGUCCGCGUACGAUUAGCUAGUUGGUGAGGUAAUGGCUCACCAAGGCGACGAUCGUUAGCUGGUCUGAGAGGACGAUCAGCCACACUGGGACUGAGACACGGCCCAGACUCCUACGGGAGGCAGCAGUGGGGAAUAUUGGACAAUGGGGGCAACCCUGAUCCAGCCAUGCCGCGUGAGUGAUGAAGGCCUUCGGGUUGUAAAGCUCUGUCUUCAGGGACGAUAAUGACGGUACCUGAGGAGGAAGCCACGGCUAACUACGUGCCAGCCGCCGCGGUAA